GGGUUGUGAGGUUAAGCGACUAAGCGUACACGGUGGAUGCCCUGGCAGUCAGAGGCGAUGAAGGACGUGCUAAUCUGCGAUAAGCGCCGGUAAGGUGAUAUGAACCGUUAUAACCGGCGAUUUCCGAAUGGGGAAACCCAGUGUGACUCGUCACACUAUCAUUAACUGAAUCCAUAGGUUAAUGAGGCGAACCGGGGGAACUGAAACAUCUAAGUACCCCGAGGAAAAGAAAUCAACCGAGAUUCCCCCAGUAGCGGCGAGCGAACGGGGAGGAGCCCAGAGCCUGAAUCAGCAUGUGUGUUAGUGGAAGCGUCUGGAAAGGCGCGCGAUACAGGGUGACAGCCCCGUACACAAAAGCGCAUGUGCUGUGAGCUCGAUGAGUAGGGCGGGACACGUGGUAUCCUGUCUGAAUAUGGGGGGACCAUCCUCCAAGGCUAAAUACUCCUGACUGACCGAUAGUGAACCAGUACCGUGAGGGAAAGGCGAAAAGAACCCCGGCGAGGGGAGUGAAAAAGAACCUGAAACCGUGUACGUACAAGCAGUGGGAGCCUCUUUUAUGGGGUGACUGCGUACCUUUUGUAUAAUGGGUCAGCGACUUAUAUUCUGUAGCAAGGUUAACCGUAUAGGGGAGCCGGAGGGAAACCGAGUCUUAAUUGGGCGUUAAGUUGCAGGGUAUAGACCCGAAACCCGGUGAUCUAGCCAUGGGCAGGUUGAAGGUUGGGUAACACUAACUGGAGGACCGAACCGACUAAUGUUGAAAAAUUAGCGGAUGACCUGUGGCUGGGGGUGAAAGGCCAAUCAAACCGGGAGAUAGCUGGUUCUCCCCGAAAGCUAUUUAGGUAGCGCCUCGUGAAUUCAUCUCCGGGGGUAGAGCACUGUUUCGGCUAGGGGGCCAUCCCGGCUUACCAACCCGAUGCAAACUGCGAAUACCGGAGAAUGUUAUCACGGGAGACACACGGCGGGUGCUAACGUCCGUCGUGAAGAGGGAAACAACCCAGACCGCCAGCUAAGGUCCCAAAGUCAUGGUUAAGUGGGAAACGAUGUGGGAAGGCCCAGACAGCCAGGAUGUUGGCUUAGAAGCAGCCAUCAUUUAAAGAAAGCGUAAUAGCUCACUGGUCGAGUCGGCCUGCGCGGAAGAUGUAACGGGGCUAAACCAUGCACCGAAGCUGCGGCAGCGACGCUGAUGCGUUGUUGGGUAGGGGAGCGUUCUGUAAGCCUGCGAAGGUGGCCUGUGAGGGUUGCUGGAGGUAUCAGAAGUGCGAAUGCUGACAUAAGUAACGAUAAAGCGGGUGAAAAGCCCGCUCGCCGGAAGACCAAGGGUUCCUGUCCAACGUUAAUCGGGGCAGGGUGAGUCGACCCCUAAGGCGAGGCCGAAAGGCGUAGUCGAUGGGAAACGGGUUAAUAUUCCCGUACUUGGUGUUACUGCGAAGGGGGGACGGAGAAGGCUAUGUUGGCCGGGCGACGGUUGUCCCGGUUUAAGCGUGUAGGUGUGUGUUCCAGGUAAAUCCGGUUCACUUUAACACUGAGGCGUGACGACGAGGCACUACGGUGCUGAAGCAACAAAUGCCCUGCUUCCAGGAAAAGCCUCUAAGCAUCAGGUAACAUCAAAUCGUACCCCAAACCGACACAGGUGGUCAGGUAGAGAAUACCAAGGCGCUUGAGAGAACUCGGGUGAAGGAACUAGGCAAAAUGGUGCCGUAACUUCGGGAGAAGGCACGCUGACA
rnacentral:rRNA from 1 species